rnacentral:misc_RNA from 1 species
UUGAACAAGAUGGGUCCUGCGCCUAUAGGUGGAAUUGAUCAUAAACCCAGAAAGGAAGAUUUCACUGAGAAUUGGAGACAUGAAUCUCAAAAAUCAAGAACAAAAUAUUUAGCAUCAGGACAAACUUUAAAAACCCACAAAAGAAAGAUGUGCAAAAUCUGCAGAUUUAUGCUUAAAACCAGUCUCAAAAACACCAACCCAGAUUUGGCAACUUUUUGAGAUUGGAAGGCAAGAAAUCAACAGAGUGAAAUCAAGAAAGAGAUUUAUAUGAAAGAUAAAGAAGCAGACACUUGAUUUUGGAUCAGGAAAUUGAAAUCCAAGAUCAAGAUUAAAGAAAAAUAAAUGGAAGGUGACGGCUUCAGUUCAAAUCAAGCAAGAGUUUUGAGAAAAAUAUCUUGAAGAAAGAAAAAAUAGCACAGAAAGAUGCCAAAUUUUGCUGAGGGGAGGAAAGAAAAGGGGAAGAGGGCUUAGAGCAUGGAAGCUGUGGGAUUUAUAGGCAAAAAGACACCCACUAGACCAGUAAGUUGAUGGUAAAAAAUUAUUUCAAAAACAUGCAAGAAAAAAAAAUCUAAGCUAAGAAAAU